UCAACGGGUGGCAGCAGUGAGGAAUAUUGGUCAAUGGCCGAGAGGCUGAACCAGCCAAGUCGCGUGAGGGAAGACGGCCCUACGGGUUGUAAACCUCUUUUGUCGGGAGCAAAGCGAACCACGUGUGGUUCAUUGAGAGUACCCGAAGAAAAAGCAUCGGCUAACUCCGUGCCAGCAGCCGCGGUAAGACGUAGGGGGCAAGCGUUAUCCGGGUUUACUGGGGGUAAAGGGAGCGUAGACGGCAGCGCAAGUCUGAAGUGAAAUGCCGGGGGUUAACCCCGGAACUGCUUUGGAAACUGUGCAGCUAGAGUGCAGGAGAGGUAAGUGGAAUUCCUAGUGUAGCGGUGAAAUGCUUAGAGAUCAUACAGAACACCGAUUGCGAAGGCAGCUUACCAAGCUACUUCUGACGUUGAGGCACGAAAGCGUGGGGAGCAAACAGGAUUAGAUACCCGAGUAGUC
rnacentral:rRNA from 1 species